GACGAACGCUGGCGGCGUGCUUAACACAUGCAAGUCGAACGGAAAGGCCCUGCUUUUGUGGGGUGCUCGAGUGGCGAACGGGUGAGUAACACGUGAGUAACCUUCCCUUGACUUUGGGAUAACUUCAGGAAACUGGUGCUAAUACCGGAUAGGAGCUCCUGCUGCAUGGUGGGGGUUGGAAAGUUUCGGCGGUUGGGGAUGGACUCGCGGCUUAUCAGCUUGUUGGUGGGGUAGUGGCUUACCAAGGCUUUGACGGGUAGCCGGCCUGAGAGGGUGACCGGCCACAUUGGGACUGAGAUACGGCCCAGACUCCUACGGGAGGCAGCAGUGGGGAAUAUUGCACAAUGGGCGGAAGCCUGAUGCAGCAACGCCGCGUGCGGGAUGAAGGCCUUCGGGUUGUAAACCGCUUUCGCCUGUGACGAAGCGUGAGUGACGGUAAUGGGUAAAGAAGCACCGGCUAACUACGUG
rnacentral:rRNA from 1 species